rnacentral:misc_RNA from 1 species
AACAAGGCGUACCUGCGGACCUGCGGAAGGAUCAUUACCGAGUGCGGGCCCGCUCUGGGCCCAACCUCCCACCCGUGUCUCUUGCGUACUUUGUUGCUUUGGCGGGCCCACUGGGUCACUCCGGUCGCCGGGGGGCGCUAUGCUCCCGGGCCCGUGCCCGCCAGAGCACCCCUGUGAACCCUGAUGAAGAGAGGCUGUCUGAGUCCCACGAUAAUCGUUAAAACUUUUAACAACGGAUCU